GAGAGCAUGGUUUAGUGGUUUGGGUGUCAGACUACGACUCCGGAGAUCAGGGUUCAAUUCCCUGCUCAAA